rnacentral:guide_RNA from 1 species
AAAUCACGGCAUAUAUACACGCGGUUAUUUGAUUUUGUAUGU